rnacentral:rRNA from 1 species
AGGAAAAGAAACCAACAGGGAUUGCCCCAGUAACGGCGAGUGAAGCGGCAACUCAAAUUUGAAAUCUGGCUCCUUCGGGGCCCGAGUUGUAAUUUGCAGAGGACGCCUCGGGUGCGGGUACCUACCGAGUUCCCUGGAACGGGACGCCAUAGAGGGUGAGAGCCCCGUCUGGUAGGACACCCAGCCCAUGUGAGGCUCCCUCGACGAGUCGAGUAGUUUGGGAAUGCUGCUCUAACGGGAGGUAUACUCCUUCCAAGGCUAAAUACCGGCUGGAGACCGAUAGCGCACAAGUAGAGUGAUCGAAAGAUGAAAAGCACUUUGAAAAGAGAGUCAAAUAGCACGUGAAAUUGUUGAAAGGGAAGCGCUCGCUACCAGACUUGGGUUCGGCGGUUCAACCGGGGCCACGCCCCGGGGCACUCCGCCGUCCCAGGCCAGCAUCAGCUUUCCGUCGGGGGCAAAGACGUCGGGAAUGUGGCUCCCCUCCGGGGGAGUGUUAUAGCCCGGCGUGUCAUACCCUUCGGGGGGGUACGCGCUUCUGCAAGGAUGCUGGCGUAAUGGUAGCUAGUGACCCG